rnacentral:rRNA from 1 species
AUUGAACGCUGGCGGCAGGCCUAACACAUGCAAGUCGAGCGGGGUUUUCGGACCUAGCGGCGGACGGGUGAGUAAUGCGUAGGAAGCUGCCUGAUAGAGGGGGAUACCAGUUGGAAACGACUGUUAAUACCGCAUAAUGUCUACGGACCAAAGUGUGGGACCUUCGGGCCACAUGCUAUCGGAUGCGCCUACGUGGGAUUAGCUAGUUGGUGAGGUAAUGGCUCACCAAGGCGACGAUCUCUAGCUGGUUUGAGAGGAUGAUCAGCCACACUGGAACUGGGACACGGUCCAGACUCCUACGGGAGGCAGCAGUGGGGAAUAUUGGACAAUGGGCGCAAGCCUGAUCCAGCCAUGCCGCGUGUGUGAAGAAGGCCUUCGGGUUGUAAAGCACUUUCAGCGAGGAGGAAGGGUGGUGUGUUAAUAGCACAUCAUUUUGACGUUACUCGCAGAAGAAGCACCGGCUAACUCUGUGCCAGCCGCCGCGGUAAUAC